rnacentral:lncRNA from 1 species
AAUAAGUGCCUGCAGAUGUUACACCUUGGUCCCCAGUAUGCUUGAAACAAACUGGAGACUGAUCAGUUUCUUACAGUAUCAGAAGACAGCAGCCCAGCUACAGCUAACCACACAAAGAGAUUGAAGAACACUGAGCUGCCAAGGAGUAGUGACCCAGCAAGAAUCAAGGUAGACUUAUCUGGGCCUGUCUGCAAGCCUUUUGCUCUGUCUUCCAUAGGAGAGAAGGAAUCUCUUCUGCCAACACAUUGUCUGUUUAAAUGGCUACUGCACAGAACCAAUCCACUUUACAAGACUCUUUAAAAUUUUUCCUUGUCAACAGUCCGUCCAAUCCAAAGUUCAUAAUUAGAGAUUUCCAGUCUGUGUUGUUUAAUUCUAUGAACUCUACUGCAUUCUUCUCUGCUUCCCCUUCAUCUGCUUGGCAACUGGGCAUUGGAAAAUUUAGUCUUUAAAAUAUGGAGCCAAGAAAGAAUGCCUACACAGGCACUCACAUCUGAACAGCCCCCUCUCCUCAUCAAACAAUACAAUAGCUGUUGAAUCCGCAAAUCCCGCUGCCACGGCCACUUGCAGCUGCACUGCAACUGUCGUCAGUAAUUCCCUACAGAACAGACCAAGAAGUAUUAAUGCAGUUCCAAUGGUUUGCAGUGUUCUAUUUGCAGUGCUUAUAUAAUCAAAAUCAAGUGUUGUCUUGUAGUAAUAUCACUCCCAAAGUCUCUAUCUUCUGAUAAGAGGUUAACUUAGGUGGCAAGAUGGUAUCAAUAGGAUUCUUGAAGCAUGCCCAGGCACAAAUAACUAAAGGCAUAUUUCAAAAAAAUUUGGUUACCAAACAGGAAAAACCUAGUAGAAUUAGCAUAAAAUAGGUAAAAACUGGAAAAUCACCAUGUUAAUUUGAGCAGGUCAUUCAAGUACAUGUGGUUUUGGCCUCUUAAAUAUUCAAUCACAAGUACAUUCUAUAUGAUUUUAAGCUACUACAGAAGUAUGAAAAAGAAAAUUAUGAGAAUGUCAACCAGUGUGGAAACUAAUUUCCUUAAGUAACUUCUCUCAAUAUCCUUUUCCUUUAAGACAAUACGGUUACAAGUUGCAACUUAAUUUUUGUCUCCGGACUUACCAUGUGAACGUACUUGAGUCUGAUUGUAACUCGACCCAACCAAGCAAGGGCCAUCCAUAGUUGAUACUAUUGACGCUGGUUGAUGGAAUUGAGUCCCAGGCUAGUCCAGCUUGACUAAUAGUCAAAUAUGCUCUCAAAGCGAACUUUCCUGAGAUUGAGAACAAACCUUGAAUCAUAAAAAGUUCAGGAAAAUAAAUCCGGAGAAUAUUUAAUAUAGUCAACAACCAACUCUUCUUCCUUCAUAAGAGGUGGUGAAUUAGCUCAUAAUAUAGAAGAGUAAAUUUUGUGAAGAUGGGGAAUAAGCUCAAAAUCAUAAUUUCUAUACAAAAUCAGAAAGUUCAAUGAGAGAAUUGCACUCAACUACUAAAAGAUAAUAACAACAUCAAAAUAAAAAACAGAAAAAAAAAAAGAACCGUAAAAGUCUUAUAGACAAGACAAUUUAAUUACAAUAUUCGUCGUGGGAAUUUUGUGGUAUAGACCUUCAUUUAGACUUGGACUUUUUAAUUUUCUUUAUGAAUAAACAAUUGGCUCCUGCUCAAAUGAAAAAUGAGAACCAAUGCUCAGAGUCACAGACAGAGGUGUAGGCAUGGCAAUGCCAAUUUUGCAAAUGAUCAUUUGGUCAUAGUCAAAACCUCAGAAAAGCCAAAACAAGAACAAUAUAACAUCAAAAUUGGGACAAAAACAUGUGUAGCAACUACAUAACAAAGAUUUGUGUCAAUCUGCUCACCUUUUAAAGGUGGUCCACUGGGUUAGUGCAAAAUAGACUAACUUUUUCUUUAUAGGGGCCCUCAAUCAGUGUUGGCUGCUGAACUAGAAGAGAGUUCAGAUAACUAAAAAAUUCUAUAAAUUCAAUACCAUAAAAUACCUCACAUAAAAAUGUUGCUUUUGGAAUUGUAGUUUUCCAAAUGUUCCCAAAUUUAAAAAUACAUUGGCAUAAAGUUAUUGAUGUUUACCUCAUAUUUUUUUCCAUGGUCAUAUCAAACAUUGUUCACAUAGUAAGUCUUCUAUGCUGAUCCUUGUUACUUAAUAUGAGACACAGAAAAGAAAAAGUAGUGAUCAAUUUAUUUUGAUAUCAAAGGGAGCAAAGCCAUAACAUGUAUAUUACAUAUGUAGCCAACUAAGUACAUAUUAUGAUGUGGGUAAGAUUCAAUACAUAUUUCAAUAACCAUGAAUUACCUAAAAAUGUAUCCACGUGUUCUUAUAGGGGAUAAACACACAAGUAGCUAGGAGUCAUCUCUGCCCAUUUCGAAAGGUAAAUUGAUGGUGUCAUGAAAAUAUGAUAACUGGCUUCUUUAAAAUAUGAAUUACCAUGGAUCAAUCUUUCUUUACUCUUCUUUACUUCAUUAGAAAAUUCUUUUUUUUUUAAAAAAAAAGAUAGGGCAGAGCAUGCUGCAUAACCAAAUUCCCAAUAAGAAGGCUAGAAAAUGAGUUAUGGAGACAUGCAACUAUAGAGAUUGUUAGAAAUUUUGAAACAUGAGUACUUGGCCAGCUACUUUAUGAAUUGGAACAUAACUUUUUUAAAGAAAAUAAGUCUAAGCAUAAAACAAAUUACCUGACGGUAUAUUGAUCACUAUUUUUGGAGUUGAGAGAGGGCAAUUUCAUAUAUACAAGAUCAUGGGAUUAUGUUCCCUCUAGAACUCAAUUUUGCUUGUCAAUAGCCCGUGUACCACAUUCCUCUCUGCUCCCCUUUCAUCUGCUUGGCAAUCGGGCAAUUGAAAAAAUUUCAUCUUUAAAAUCUAUAUCCAAGAAAGAAUACCCAUAUAGGCAACAAUUUGGACAACCUCCCCUCUUCAUCAAGCAAUACAAUGGUUGUUAAAUCCACAAAUCCCACUACCAUGACUACUGGUGUCUAUGCUGCAAAUGUCAUCAGAAAUUGCCUGCACGAUAGACCAAGAAGAAGCAUUUGUUUUUAAAACCAGAAGCUUCUAUAUAUAAGUAAAGCAUCUUAUAUAAAGAGUAUAGAUUUACCUUAUCUAUUUAAAAAUCACAUUUUCAAAAAUUUUAAAAUUUGAGAGAAUAAGAAUCUAUUUGGUGAAGUUUUUAAAAAUAAUUUUAUGUUUUUAAAAAUUGAAAACAGUUUUAAAAAAUUAAUAACACUGUUUGGUUAUUCUUCUCAAUUUCCUUUUUAAAAACAAAAUAAAAUAAAGAACAACUUUUAAAGAACAAGUAAAAGUUAUUUUUAUCCAUUUUUAAAAAUAAUAGAAAAACAUAUGCACUCUAUUAUUUCUCUUCUACAUAGAAUUAUUAUUUUUCAAUUUUUUUGGUUAAGUAAAUUAACUCCAAAUUAAACAAAAUUUAAUGUGUUGUAUUUGUUAACAAGUCUAUUAAUUUUUAAAAAUAAUUUAAAACUUAAAUAAUAAACUCAUUAAUACCAUAAAUUUAUUAAUAUAAUAAAAUAUCUUUUUUUCUAACAAAUAAUAAAAUAGUAUAAUUUCUACUAAAAAUAUAAUUUAUGAUUUUAUUAUAAUAUUACUAUUUAUGUUUUACUAAAAACUAUAUAUAUAUUUUAAUUUAUUUGUAAUUACAAAAUUAUUUUCAUUUUCAAUAAGAAUUCAAUUAAAUUUAAUUAAUUAAUAUUAUAUAAAUUGAAUUAAAAAUAUUUUUACAAAAUUAUAAUAAUUUAAAAGAAAAAAACAAUUGAUCCGAACAAGUUUUUUUUUUUUAAAUCCUUCUAUAAUAAUAACUUACCAAAUAUCCUUAAUUUUAUAAAACAUUAAAAAAAACCUUUUUUGAUUCUUUAACAUUAAAAAAGUUUCUAAAAAAAAACAUAAGAAAUCAUGUUCAAACAACAAAUUUUAAAAAAUUAAUCAAAGUAUUUAAUUGACUUGUAUUAAAAAUGAAUAUUAAAAUUAUUUUUAUAUUAUAGAAAUUUUUGUUUCACUAUAAUAAAAAUAUUGUUUCAUAAUUAAAAACAAAAUUAUUUAUCUUUAAUUAAUAUAUAAUUGUAUAUUUAAUUUUUAUUUUUUAAUAAGACUUAACAUGAAUUUGAUUUCAUAUUAUUAUAAAUUAAUUUUAUAAAAUAAAAGUAAUACAUUGUUUUUAAAAAAUAAUACAAAUUCUUUCAUCUUAUUGUUUUUUGUUUUUUAAAAAAUAUUUUUUAAAAUAUCUUGCCAAACAUUCUGGUUUUUUUAAAAAAAAUUUUGCCCUAAAUUUUUUUUGAUACCUUGAUUGUUUUAAACAGUUUUUAAAAUUAUUAAUUUUUCAAUGUAAGCCUUUAAGAGUUAAAAUACAAAAGUUACUGUCACUUAAUUUUAGGCUUAACAAUGUAGGAGAUUUAAGUGGAGGCAAGGAAUUAAGCAGAUAUAUUCUUGAGAUUAGAAAUUUGGGUGGAACAUCAAUUUUGUAAAGAAAUUAAGUUUAAGCACACAACAAUUACCUGCCCAUGUGUUGGUGCACUGCCACUCCCAUUAAAAUAGCACCCAAUCGAUCACUAUUUUUGGAAUGUGAGAUAUAUAACGCCAUUCUUGCCCUUUCUCGAAUUGGAGCCGUUGUUCCAGCAAAGGACACGAUCCGACAUCCAGAGAACAGAGGGAGUCUGGCAGUCUCUCUUUUGUCAAGUAUUGGAGCUUAGGGCAACGGACGAUACUUAAGGUUUCAAGAGUGGUGAGGUGGUGAAGACCCGCUUCUGUCAAGGAUUGGAGCCUUCUGCACGACCAGAUUUCUAAUUUCUUGAGAGAGAUAAGGCGUUGAAGAACAGAUCCUGUCGAGAAUUGGAGCUCAGGGCAGUUCUCGAUCCAUAAUUCUCGAAGAGAGGUGAGUUGUUGAAGCCCCUUGUUGUCAAGAGACUUGAGAUUUGGAAGACCCCAGAUUGAAAGAUGAGUUAGAGAAGAGGGCAGCAGACACUCCUUGGGAAAUAAUUCCACGCCUUCACAUCCACCUCCGAUUGUGAAAUGAGUAAGAGAGGUCAGUCUUUGCAAAUCCCAGUCCACCUGUGACGUGAGUUGGUUGCAGCGCCAUAUUGCAAGUUCCCGUAGGUUGGAAGGCAAACCCUCCCUGUGCAACAACAAUUCUGGACAAUCCGCUAAACACAGUUUCUGCAGAGAUGAAUGGGUGUGCGCCAGCAAUUUGAGAUUGGAGCAAUUCCAAAUAUCAUGGUACAUCGAGUCAAGAGCAGGCAGUUGGAUGUAUACAAGAUUAAGGCACCGAUGGAUCUUCAAAUUACGAAGAGAUGUGGGAUCCCCCUCUGAAAUCGAGAUGCAGAGCUCCUCAAGCCCCUUAAGACCAUUUAUUUCGAAAUCAGUCAACCUGGGGAAGAUGUCCAAUACUGAGAAGGACAACAAGAGAGAAUCACAGGUACCGCCAUUGAUUGAUAGAUUUUCGAGAACCGGGUGAUGGCAUCUGAACAACUUAGGUAGAAGAAGGUCCAAUUUGGUACAAUCAGAGAUUGAUAACGAUUUCAAUGUAGUGGGUAAGCCAACUUUGUUUGGGGAUCUGUAAAAAGAGCAAUCACAAAUUUCCAAACUGUACAUGUUGGUUUGCAGGAUUUCCUCCUCUAGUAGAGACUCCACAUAAUCACAUUUUCUAAUGUAGAGAUAGUGGGGUACCAGUGGAAGUUGCUUCAACUGAGAGACGUCUGAAAUUUCAAUUUUUGAAGUUUGACUAGCUGUGAACCCACAAGUUUGCCUUUUCAACUGCAAUUCACGGGCAGCAAGAACGUUGAGUGUAGGCACAAGCAGCUGUGGGCAAUUUCGAAGGUUAAGUUCCUUCAAUAAAGGAAGGUGCAUUGGUAAUUCCCCAGUGAGUUUUGGACAGUUACUUAUAGAAAGCUCCUGGAAACGAGGGAAUUCUCCAUGUUUGCCUCCACAACAUAACCAUUUCUCCCAAUUGGACAUAGAGGAAAAUGAUAGAGUUUGCAGGGAUGGGAAGGAGGGAUGAAGCGAGGAAGAAGAAUUCCCAUAAAACUCACUACCCACCCUCACUACUCCAUUCAUUCCAAAGAUCUUUAUAUGUUCAAGACAAGGUAGCUGCCCCAGUGGCGGCAAUGUUGAGCAAUUCCUACAAUUCGAAAGCUGAAGGGAUACGAGAUUUGAAAAUGAUCCGUCUCCAAGCCAAUCUGGAAAUGUUAGACCAGGAUACCCUCCAAUGGACAACUUUUUUAAAUUUGGAUGAGGUGUUAGCCUGUUGAGAAUAUCAUCUUGUAUAGCAUCAUGACUAAUCCCCCGACUCCAAUUCAAGGAUAACUCAUCAAGGUAUUUCUUAUCCUUCAUUUUCGCCUGCAAUGCAUCCUCAACACCCACCACAUUCUCCAUUUUUGAAAUUUCAAGUCUUCCUCGAAUCUCUGAAAGCUUCCACAAUUCUCCAAAUCUGAAUCCACUUUCUUUGCCCACAGUAAAAUUAGAUAAUUUCUGCAAACUUUUUAAUUGACCUAUAUCAUUUGGCAUUUCUUCCAAUGAAUUAGACCCACUAAUAUCAAGAUAGCGCAAAUUAAUCAACUUCCCCAUUUUUGAAGGCAAUUCAAGAAGAGAAUCACAAUUACUCAGCAUCAUCGUUUGCAAAUUGCACAAACAACAUAUUGAUUCAGGUAAUCUUUUAAUCCAUGUUGUAGAGAGAUCCAAGUAACGCAACUGUUUUAAAUUGUGUAUUGAAUCAGGCACAUCUCUUAUGCAGUAUGCACGCAAUGACAACACCCGCAAAGAUUUAAAUUUUGGUAAUAUAUUGUGUAAAACUCUUGUACUCAACAAAUAAGGAGGCCAUGAUGUCUUCACCUCUAAGAUUGUUCUGAGAUGUUUGGCUUCACCAACAGGCUCAAAAGUUUCAAACACAGCUCCCCGGUCAUCGUCACUUUCAAAGUGGAAAAAAUGGCGAGCCUUAUCAGAUAUUUUUGGCAGCUUACAAUCUUCCAAUCGAAUGCAAAAUUCUUGGGAGAUAUGUUGAGCCAAGUCAUGUAUCAGAUCAUGCAUUACAAAGCAUGAUUUUUCUCCUCUAAUACAUUUUUGAAAAAACGACUUUGCUAAAAGUUCAUUUAAAUAUGAAUCACCUACCUCUUCCAUUCUUCUGUUACUUUGUCCUGAGUGUAAAAACCCUUCUGCCAUCCAUAAUAGAAUCAGCUUCUCUUUGUGGAAUUCAUAGUCCUUGGGAAAAUUUGAACAGUAAGCAAAACAACGCUUCACAGGAGGAGAGAGAUGCUGAUAACUCAAUCUAAGAGACGGAAGAAUUUCAUGAUCAGUUUGGGAAUGCCACGUUUCGCUAUUCAAAAUAUCUUCCCAUUCUCCUUUUUCGGCCUUGUAGUACAAGAGGCUCCCGAGUGCUUUAACAGCCAAAGGCAAUCCUUGGCACUUGUCCACAAUCUUUCUUCCUAUGGGCUCAAGCUGUGGAUAAGCGCUGGAGUCUCCAUUUGGAAAUGCAAGUUUUGUAAAUAUGGACCAACUAUCUUCAGGGCUUAAUGUCCCCAAAUGAUGAGUAGGGACUGCUCGCAUGAUUUUUGCAGCAGUUUCACUGCGACUAGUCACAACAAUCUUGCUUCCCUCUGCUGCAGUGAGGAGUGGAUUUCGUAGGCCUACCCAAUCAUCAGACUUCAUAUCCCAGACGUCGUCCAGAACAAGAAGAAAUUUCUUGUUACCUACUCUCUCUUUGAGUUUAAGCUGAAGCAAAUUUAGGGUGUCAUCAGGUUUAGUUUCAGAACCGAUUUCCUUGAGAAUUGAUUUUGUCACCUCCUCGAUGAGAAAAAUCUGAGUGGAAACACAGACCCAUGCUUUCAAGUGGAAGUGUUGCUUGACCGUGUCAUGGUUAUAGAGAAGCUGAGCGAGUGUGGUCUUGCCGUUGCCGCCGAUGCCCACUAUGGACAUCACAUCUAUGUUGUUGCCUGUUGCAUUUUCCUUAUCAGAAAGCAACCACUUCACCAUCUCCUCUUUGAUUCCAUCCCUGCCCACCACAGAGGACUCAUCCACCAAAGAAGUGGUUGGUGGCCUUGGUGACAGUUUAUCGCCCUCACCUUCUUUCAGCCCAAGCUUCUCUUUUUCUUCAGCAAUAUCUUCAAGCUUAGCAAUCAUCUCCUUCACCCUGGACUCCAUGCUUUGAUUGGCAAAUGGAGCCUUAACCCUGGUAGAGAACUUGUUCCACACCUGAUAAAUUCCACCAGGUUGGGAGUCAGCAGCUUCAAUCUCGCACCGCAAGGCUUCGGUAGCGAUCUCGUCCAACAGGUCCUCCGCAUGAUACACAGCAUCCUUAACCUGGACCAGCCAGUCUUUGACUAGUGGGUCUGAAAAUUGCUUCAUCUCCGCAUCAUUGAGCGCUUUGUGGACAACCAGCAAUUUCCUCUUCAAUUUGUUGAGGAGUUCAUGGCUAAGCUUCUGUCCCCGGAUGAAGUUCAUCAACUCCGGAGAAGUCAACCUGUCGAAUAGAACUUGAAGUGAAGCGGAUAGGAGUGCGUCGGCCAUAUCUGUUGACUGUUGCUUUGCAAAUCAAAGGAACUCAGCGAUUCAGUUCAGGAAAAAACGAAGGUAAAGCAGAUGCAGAAUCACACCACCAAACUGUAGUGGACUGGUUUGAACACGAGAUCCAAAAAUAAUGGAAAAAUAAAGAAGGCCACAGAGAGGCACAUGGGGCUGCACCAAACACCAAGGGAUGCACAUGGUCUGUCACCCUCGAGCAUAAAACUCAUGUUAUGUUUAUUAAUGACUCUUAUCUUUUUCAAAUCCAUAUAUAAUUUUAUCUAUAACUUCAUGCAUGUUUUUUUCAAUUGUUAGUAUUGAUUUUUUAUUUUUUUGUUUUUAAUAUAUUGGUGAAUCAAUUGGUGGAGUUGGGGCAGAUCUUUUGACAUUGAUCUAGGUCUUCAAUUUUUUCUAGAUUUGCUCUUUAGAAUAUUGUAUUUUAUUUACCAUUGCAAAAUAAUUAUUCAAGCUCUUAACUUGAAAAUAUUAAAAUUAUUUUUAACAAUUAGCAUUUUUGUUAAAAAAAAUAACUCGGUAGUUUAUGAAUUAAAGUAUGAAAAUUGUCAUUUUCUAUGUUUUCAUAAUGAUGUAAUUGUGAAACUCCUAACCCCCCAAAAAAAAAAAAAAGGAGAAAAGAAAUUUCACCUUAAUUGGCUUUUGUCAAAGGCAUAUAUACCUUUUACUCGCAUUAGUUCUAUACCUACUUGGAUAUCCUUGGUUUUGUACAACCGAUAAUGAAUUUCAUUCAAUUUGAUCGAUUUUGUAGUUCUUUAGUCGAUUUUAAUCAUAAUAAAAGAUUGUCUAUAUUUGAAUGUUUAUGUAAAUUCAACUGAAUUAAGAAUUUUUAUAUGACAAAAAUAAAUCUUAAUUAAAUAACCUUAUUAUUGCCUUCUCUAGCUAUAGCAGUCAUAAAACUUCUCAUAAUUACAUCAUCACCACCUUCACUUUCCAAUCUUGAAGCCACCUUGCAAGAUUCCUUAACAACAUCAUUAUUCAAUUCAAAAAAAUUUCACAUAAAUUAAAUAUAUAAAAAAAAAAAAUCAUUUUUCUCAAUUUUUAUUUUUUUUCUUUUCUGAGCAUUUGUCAAGCAAAUAAAAAAUAGGCUAAAUAACUUGAAAAUAAAUUGAAUAAUAAACCAAAGGAUGGAUUGGUAAGAUUAUUUAGUAUUGUUUAAUCAUAAUAAACAAAAGAGCAUUGCAAAGAUUAUUAUAAGAUGCCUACUUAAAUCAAUAAUAUCCUCCUCACUUCCUUCCAUAUACACGAGAUUCAAAAAAUAAAAAAAUAGAAUAAGCCAUGCGCAUGAGAUUCAUUUAGUUUUAUCGAGAGAGUUGUGCCUCUCAUGUACACACACACGCCAGAUUAAAUUGAAAGAUGAAAUAAGUCAUAGAAGGCUCAUGGGGCUGCUUAAAGCCUCACAGAGAGAGAGAGAGAGAGAGAGAGAGAGAGAGAGAGAGAGAGAGAGAGAGAGAGAGAGAGAGAGAGAGAGAGAGAGAGAGAGAGAGAGAGAGAGAGAGAGAGAGAGAGAGAGAGAGAGAGAGAUGGUUUUUUUUCUUUUCUUUACUUUUGUGAAAAAACAAUCAUUUAUGCUAUGUUUGGUUGGUUCAUAGAAAGUUUGAAGGAAGAUCGUAAGACAAAAAAAAAAAAAAAAAAACAUUGCAAAGAAAAAAAAUGAUUUAAAAUUAAUAAAUUCAUUUUACAUAUAUAUUAAUUCUUUGAUAUAAGAUUAAAUAAUUUAAAAAUAUAUAAUUUUCUUAAUCAUUUUAAUUACAUUUGACUUUUUUUCAUAUAUUUUUUUCCAUAUUUUAUAUGAUAUAAUAAAAAAUGAUAAAAUCAUUUUUCUUAACAUUUUCUUCUUUUCUUGAUAAUUUUCAGGAACUAAAUAUAAAUUUAUAUUAAAAGUAAUCCUUUAUAUUAAAGUCAUACUUGGUUCUCAUAAAGUGUUCCAAAAAAAAAUGUUAAAAAAAAAUUAAUUUUCUCCUGUUUGAUUUUACUAUUAAGAAUAUGAAAGAAAGUCAAAUAUAAUUAAAAUUAGUAAAAAAAUUUAUAUAUUUUCAAGUUAUUUAAUUUUUAUAUAAAAGAGUUAAAUAAGUAAAAUGAGUUUAAAAUAUGAUAUAAAAACAAUUUAUUGACUUUUCACAUCUAAUUAUCUUAUCCUUCAUUUGUAAUACUAGAAGUAUCAAAGAAAUGAAAAAAAGGAAACCUACAUGAGAAUUUAAAAUCAUAUGUUUGAAUGAGAGUGAAAUCUCAAAUACUAAAUUACAUAUAUUUUUAUUAAUGAAGAAAAAUGAGAAAUAAUAUUUUUUUUAAAAAGGAUCUAAAUUUUUUCCCUUUACUUUUUUUACAUGUCACAAACAUGGUUCUCUUAGUUUCUAAUCUUUCCUAAUUCAUCAAAGAAUAAAUCCCCAUAGUCAAUGACACAAGUACUGCAGACAUGGCAAUGAGAAUUCUGCUAAUGAGAAGCUAGCACCAAAAGAUUUAGGUCUUCUCUUAUGACCCAUAACCAUGACAUUCAUCUCAAUGAUCAUCUCUAUGAAGACAAAAAUUCCUCGUCACAAUACCUAAGAAAUGCCAAAACAGGAACAAAACUUCCUACCAAACUUCAAGCCCAUCUGCCUACCUUUAAAAGGUGGUCCACUGGGUCAAUGCAAAAUAGACCAGCUUUUAUUACAGAGACUCCCAAUCAAUGAAUGCAGGCUGCUAAACCAAAAUAUAAAACAAUAAGAUGUUUUUAGGUUAUUGAGAACAUGAACCAAAACAAAGAAAACUUUUUUGUUUUAGUGAAAAAUAAGACAUUGAAAGGAUAUGCAGUCAUAAAACUUGCAAUUUUGUAUAUUGCAGAGUUAAAUCUCCACUUUUAAUACACUGGAAAGGGAAUAGCAGCAAGAAAAGACCAAAGCAAUUAAAAUUUCUUACUGCCAAAGCACAAUACAUCCCUACUUUACUCCAUGCUUGUAUAAGAGAACAUAGACCCAGAAAGUGACAAAAACCUAAGCAUCCAUGGUUUUCCAUAGUUAUCAAGUGGUUCACUUGGUUUAGGCAUACUGCCAAAUAAAAACAGAGCAUGACCUUGCCAGUACCAUUAGAAUAUGGCAACUAUCUGCAUCCAAAAUGUGAGCACUUAGGUUCAAUCCUCCUCGACUCCUCUUCAAUAUUUGUUUCAAACUUGAAGCUUCACGAAAAAAGAAAAUCCCUAACACACCUGCCAUCGUUAAAAAAAUUAGCAUCAACAAGCAGACAUAAGAUUCCUUGCACCUAACAUUGACAUGGACUCAAAUUAUCCAAAACUAACCUAAAUUCAUGGAGAUGAAUGCCAAUCAAGCAAAGCACGUGCCUGUGUGAUGUUUGGUCAGUCAUCUGGAGAAGCUUGGAGCACGCCCAUGAUUAGAUCUGUCACAUGAGCUGUAUUUUGGUAAUUCUGGAAUGCGGUAUUUUCUAUUUAAGAUAAUAGAUGGUGAGAAACAUAUAGUCAGAUGAAUAAUAAAACACAUACUCUAGUAUUCUACUGAUUGAUUCACCCAUUCACUAAUCAUUAAAAAGUCUAGAAAUAUAGAAGCUUAAAUUUUCGAAUUUAUGGACAUAGUAAAUAAGCUCAUAAUCAUCAUUUCUAUACAAAAUCAGGAAGUUCAAUGAGGAAGUUGCACUCAACCGCCUUAAGAUAAUAAGGACAUCAGAAUAGAAAACAAAGCUACAAAAAGUCUUAAAGCCAAGAUCAAUUUAAUUAUAGUAUUCUUCUUGGGAGUUGCAUGGUAUAAACCUUCGUUAAGACAUGGACUCUAAUUUUCUUUUCAAAGAAACAGCUAACAUCCUGAUCGGAUAAACAAUGAGAGCCAAUGCCCAGGGCCACUAACAGGAAUGUAGGCAUGGAAACAACAAUUCUGCUAAUGAGAAGCAGCACAAGAAGACCGUCACCUUCAGGAUCCAUGUCAUUGAUCCAAAUGAUCAACUCAGCAACAGUUAAAAAAAAAAAAAGUAUACAAAAAUUCAUAGUCACAGUCGAGAUCUAAGAAAUGCCCAUAAAAGAACAUAACCACAUCAAAAUUAGGACAAAACAAGUACAACUACCUAAUAAUAAAAAAAUUGACCAAAAUACUUCAUGUAAACAAAUAAAAAAAGUUGACCAAUUCAGUAUCAUAAAAUACUUCAUAUAAAAUUUUUGCUUUUAAAAUCGUAGUUUGCUAAAUGAUCCUAGUUGGUUGAUAUGGAACACAUGGAGAAGAAAAGAAAAAACAAAAAGUAUUGAGUAAUUUAGUUUGAUAAAAAUUAAAAAGAAAAUGGAAAUUUAUUCGGAGAAGUAGCAUCAAUUACCCAUGGAAUAAGUGCCUGCAGAUGUCUCCCAAAGAAUCUUAAUUCAUUCGUAAAGCUACAAUAUUGACUACAAACUAACCAAAAAGAUCAAAAACUUUAAAUUCAUGCAAAUUAAUUUAUAAUAAAACAAAAAGAAGAGAAAUUCAUUCUCAUAUACAAAUUCUAAAAGGAAGAGUGACAAGAAAAGAUUAACUAAUAAAAACUCCAAAGGGGUGUGGUGGUAUAGAAACUUCGACCUUCCUCAUUGUUGGCCUAAUUACAGCCUCAAAGAUGAUUAAAGAGCCAUUGCUCAUGUGAUUAAAAUAUGAUAACUAGCUUUGUUAAAAUGUGAAUUACCAAGAAUCAAUCUUCCUUUACUCAUCUAGAGAUGCGUAAAUUCUAGAGAUUGUCAGAAAUUCUGAAAAGUACUUGACAGCUACUUUAUGAAUUGGAACAUAAAGUUUCUGAAUAAAAUAAGCAUAGAAUUAAUUACCUGACUGUAUAUUGGUGCGGUACCACUUUCAUUAAAAUAUCACACCAUUGAUCACUAUUUUUGGAGGUGAGAGCAAGCAAUUGCAUAUAUAUGAGAUCAGGGUACCCUCUGAUUUGCAAGUAACGUCAAUAGCCUGUCCGAUAUGAAGUUCAUAAUUAUAUGAACUCUAUUGCAUUCUCUGCUUCCCCUUCAUCAGCUUGGCAACUAGGCAUUUGAAAAAAUUUGGUCUUUAAAAUCUGGAUCCAAGAAAGAAUAACCAUACAGGCACACACACCUGGACAGCCUCCCCUCUUCAUCAAACAAUUCAAUAGCUGUUAAAUCCAUGGCCGCUGGUGCCUAUGCUGCACAUGUCAUCAGGAAUUGCCUGCACAACAGACCAAGAAGAAGCAUUUGAGUGCUUAUAUGAUCUAGCAGCUCCAUCAGAAUCAAGUGUUGCCCUGUAGUAAUAGUCACUCCUUAAGUCUCUUAUGCUUAAGUCUCUCCCCAUGUGCAGGUAGGUAUCUGGGUCUGAUUGUUACUCAACCCAACCAAGCAUGGGCAUCCAUACUUGAUACUUUUCAGGUUGGUCAAAUUGAAAUGAGUUACAUAUAAUGCUCAUCUCCCGUAUCGUUUUUGAAGCUAGUUCGGCUAGACUAAUAGACAAAUAAGCCCUCAAAAUAAACUUGCCCAGGUUGAGAACAGACCUUAUAUUGAGAUAGUCCACAACCAACUCUGCUCUUAAUAUAUAAGAAAUAAUGAAAAAUAAAUAGUCAAACAAAUAAUAAAAUGCAUAACCUAAUAUCCUAUUGAUUGAUUCACCCAGUUUUUAACCAUUAGAAAGUCUGGAAAUAUAGAAGAGUGACUUUUCGAAUUCAUGAGGAUGGUGAAUAAGCUUAGAAUCAUCAUUUCUACACAAAGUCAGUUGGUUCGAUGAGGGAAUUACACUCUUAACUACUUUAAGAUAAUACAACAACAUCAAAAAUAGAAAAUUGAACUACAAAAGGUCUUAAAUUAAGAUCAAUUUAGACAUAAUAUACUUCUUGGGAGUUUCACGGUAUAAACCUUUGUAAAGAAUUAGACUCUCCUUCUUUAAGACUAUGGACCCAAGACUCAUACUCACUGAUAGAAGUGCAGGCAUGCCAAUGAGAAUUCUGCUAAUGAGAACCUAGCAUAAGAAUAUUAAUGUCUUCUCCUGUGAUCCAGAACUAUAGUCCGAAAUGGGAUCCAUGACAUUGAUGUCAAUGAUCAUCUCCAUGACAACAGAAAAUAUACAGAAAUUCCUAGUCAUAGUCAAGACCUAAGAAAAGCCAAAACAAGAACAACGAAACAUUAAAAUUGGGACAAAAACAAGUGCAUAAGCUUCCUAAUGAACAUUUAAGUCUAUUAGCUUACCUUUAAAAAGUGGACCACUUAGUUAGCACGCAAUAGACCAGCUUUUGUUACGACUCCCAAUCAAUGCAGGUUGCUAUUAUCAUAACCGAACUUUGUUCCUCAUAAGCAGUCUUUUAUGCUGAUACUGGUAACUUAAUAUGGAACAUGUACAAAAAAGAAAAGAAAUAACAAAAAGUAGUAAUUAAUUUCGUUUGAUAUUGAAUGGAGUAAAGUCACAACAUGUGCAUAUGCAAGUAUAUUAUCCUAAAAACCACUUGCAAAAGGCACCAAGUACCCAACUAAUAUCAGACUUGAAUAACCAUGAAUUACCUAAAACUGUAUCCACAUGUUCCUGCAUGAGAUAGAUACACAGAUAGUUUCAACUUUGCUCAUUUGGAAAGAUCAAUUAAAGCUACAAUGCAAAUUACCUGGGAUGAAUUUUCCUUUGUUGGAGAACUUCUCAAAUCAAACAAAUAGAGUUUGUUGCUUGCUCAAAUCUUCAACAACUGGACCAGCCAAAGACUUGUGUAGAUGUACAAUUCCUAAAGAGUGUUGAGCAUAUUAGGAGCCUUUGAAUUCUGAAAGGAGGUCAAGACCUUAACAAUGUAGAAGGUUUAAGUAAUUCUGUUAUCAAACAUGGUAAAAUUGAUUAAACAAAACCUUGAACAGUGAGGUAUUUUCUUCUAAAAAAGAUGAGUCCACCAUUGUGUGGACUAUUGAGAAUAUAAAAAAUACGACAUCAGAAUUAUAAGUAACUAAAAUUACCUACCAAUAAGCAGCUAGCUAGAAUAAAUCCAUGGUUUUCUCCAUGCCUGUAUUAGAGAAAUGACAAAGAAAGUGAGGAAAAAAAAUCAAAGCAUUCAUGUUUUUCGACAGUAAUUAAGUGGUUCACUUGGGUUAUGCAUACUGCCAAAGCAUGAAAAUAUGAGUACCAUUAAAAUAUGAUCUGAACUGUCUGUGUCAAAAUGUCAGCACCUAGGUUGAAUCCUCAUCUACGGCUUUUCAAUAACAUUUGUCCUAGGGUUGAAGCUUCAAGAAGAAGAAAUCUUAAAUCAAAUAAAUGGAGCUAAGGAAUUAUGCAGAUAUAUUCUUGAGAUUAGAAAUUUGGAUGGCUACAUCAGGAAUUGGAACAUAAAUUUUCUAACAAAAUAAGUUCAAGCACAAAGCAAUUACCUGCCGAUAUGUUGGUGCAGUGCCAUUUUCAUUAAAAUAGCACAUCAUCGAUCACUAUUUUUGGAAUGUGAGAUAUAAAACGCCAUUCUUGCCCUUUCUCAAAUUGGCACUGUUGUUCCAGUGAAGGACACUUGAGGACAUACAGAUAAGAGAGGGAGUUUGGCCGUCUCUCUUUUGUCAAGUAUUGGAGCUUAGGGCACUUGUAGAGAUCUAAGGUUUCAAGAGUGGUGAGGUGGUGAAGACCCGCUUAAUAAAAAUUAAUAAAAUAAAUGAAUUUAUUAUAUCUGGAAUAUGUAUAUAUGUCUUAUCUUAGGAUUAAUAUAUAUUAAAUAUCCAUUAAUAGAAAACCCAUUUUUUCUCUUUCCACAAUCUAAUCCUAAUACGAAAAAUCUUGAAAUAUUAUUGGUUUUCUAGCUUUCUUUUAAUUUCUCUAAAAUUUUUCAUUAAGUAAAUAAAUUUGGAAUCAAACUAUACCUCAUAGGUAAAAUUUAUUAAUUUUUAAAAUUAAUUUCAAACUCAAAAACCAAUUUAAUUAGUACUAAAAAGUCAAAAACACAAUAAUAUUAUAAAUUCAUAGGUCAAAAUUUAUUUAAAAUAACUUGGUUAGCUUCUUCUUCACAUAUAACCUAUUUUUAUAAAUUUUUUUCAUGAAGCAAAUAAACUUCAAAUUAAUCGAGACUUGAUGUGUUGAAUUCAUUAAUGAGUUUAAUAAUUUUUAAAAAUAAUUUAAAACUUAAAUAAUUAUGUAAUUAAUACCAUCAAUUUAUAAAUAAAAAUUGGUUUCAAAUGACUCUAUUUUUUUUUAUUUUCUAUGUAAAAUUAUUAUUUUCUUAUUUUUUUGUUUCUAUUAUGCAAAUGGACUCCAAAUUAAACAAGACUUAAUGUCAUAUUUUUAUCAAUGAGUCUAGUAAUUUUUAAAAAUAACUUAAAACUUAAAUAGUGAACCAAUUACUAUUAAAAAUUUAUGGACAAAAAUUGAUUUAGAAUAAUUUUAUUUAUUCUUUUUCUUUACAUAAUCAUUAUUGUCCGAUUUUUUAAACAAAUAAACUUUAAAUUAAACAAGACUUAAUACAUCGGAUUCAUUAAUAAGUUUAAAAAAUUUUAAAAAUAAUUUAAAAUUCAUAUAAUAAACUCAUUAAUAUAAGAAAUUUAUGAAUUAAAAAUGAUUCAUAAUGACUAUUAUUUGUAUUUUUGGUUUUAUUUUAAAAAUAAUUUUUUAAAAAUAAGCGUUAGAAGACAUGUUCAAACGGACCCUUAGCUUUUAAAAAACAAUGCAAUUAUGCAUUUUACAAUCUUUUCUAAAGGUAAUUACAAAUUGUUUUAGUUGUUUUUCCACCUUUCAACCCAAAAAAUUGUUGAAAAUAUAAAUAAAAAAAAAUAUUGUGAUAUUCAACUAUUUCACUUGAAGUUACCCAAAUAUGAAAAUAAGGAUUGAAGGGUGCAAUCAUGCAACCCAAUGGCAUUGAUUUAACAUAGGUUUUGUCCAAUUUACAACCAUAUAUAUUAGUGCAAUCACUAAUAAAAACUCAUUUUAAUGAUCAAGAUAAGUCAUUCUUCUAAUUAUGAGGUAGUAUGCUACAAUUUUAGAUUGAUUGUUCAAGUUUAUGAAUUGGUUGUAAACAAUCCAUCAACUUACAAUAAACUUAUGACUUGGAUCUUUCGUAUAACUUUUUAUACACUAAAAUCUUAUACAAUGCAAGUGAUGUAAACCCGAGUGUUCAAAUAAAUAUUAAUGUAAAUAAUGGCAGAAUAAUGGAAAUAGAAAUCAUAAUAUUAUAUAUAUAUUUAUGAAAUUUCACUUAGUUAAAUCAUGUUAUAUUUUUAAAGGCUUUGAUUUUUUUAAUUGGAUCUUGGGCUUUUAGGAUUUGAUCUUGGGUUUUAGUUGUUUCAUUCGAUGUUAGGCAUUUAUAAUUUUAUUUGGGAACAAUUCAUUUGAUCGAGGCUUCAAUUUUUUGAUGUGGGCUAUAGGCUGUGAUUAUUUCGGGCUUUGGGUUUUUGUGAUUUGGGCUAGUUUUGAUCAUUUAAUUUGUUGUUUUGGGCUUUGGUUUGGAUUGAUAUUUGAUUAGGCUUUGGGUAUUGGAUUUGUUGUUUCUUAAUUUGGAAAUAAUAUUUGACAUUGGCUUUUGGGCUUCGCUUUUAAUAUGUAGUUUUGACCUUGGUUAAUUCCUAUUUGAGCCCCUGGUCGGAUUAUUUCAUUUUGGCCUAUUGAUUUGUUGACUUGGACUUUGUGUUUGUGCUUGUUUGUGAUUUAGGCUUGGUCUAUUGUUCUGGGGUUUUAGUUUGAUUGUGGGCAUUUGUGUAUUACUUUGGGCUUGGCCUUUAUAAUUGUUUUGAAUUUAUUUAUGGUAUGGGCUUGGUUGUUUGAUUUUGACCUUCUAUAUACUCUAUUUGACCUGGGCUUAGGGCUUUCAUUUAGUUUAUUUGAGCUUGGUUAAUUUGAUUUGGAUUUGGGCCUGUUAUAACUUGUAAACUAUUUAGGCUUGCUUUUCUUUUAUUGAACAGAAUCAACAAAAGUAAGGUGUAUAUUUUUUUAAACAAGCAGAAUACGCGCAUUCAAAGUUUUGAAAAAUAGUUUUGAAAAAUUAAUUUUAAUCUUUUUUAUGUAUAUAAAUAUUUUCCAAAAAUAACUUUAUGAUAUAUAUUUCUUCAAGCAAUCAUAAACGAAAAAAAAAAAAAACAAAUGAAAAUAACCGAAAACAACUCAUAUAUUUUUUCAAAAAACACCUAAACCGGCUUGCUUUUUUUUUUUUUUUUUUAUCAAACAGUUUUCCUAUUUUCUUGUUCUUAAAUAUAGAUAAACAAAAGUGGUUCAUUGUGACCCUAUCAUUUGUCUUUUGUUUUUUAAUUUUAAAAUAGGUUUUAAAAACAAGUAGAAAAAUAUGAUGAAACGAACCCUUAUCUUUUAAAAAAUAAGGCAAUUCAAAAUACAUUUUAAAAGGCAAAUUAUAAAUUUCUUUAGUUGUUUUCUCAUCUUUGAAUCGAGAAAAUUUGUUUGUACGAUCUUUCCAUCUAAUUAGUCCCUUGAAAUAUUUGUCCCCUUUUUCAGUAUUAUCAAUAUAUUUAUGACUAUUUGAAUGAAAAUAUAAGAAAAUAUCAUAAAUAUUCUCAUGAAACUCCUUGAUAGCAAUUAUUUCACUUAUCAGUGAAAAUAAAGUUACCCAAAUAUAAAAAAGGAUCGAAGGAUGCAACCCAAUGGCAUUCAUCGAGAUGGCAAAGUUUGAUACAAUUUGCAAAUACUUCUAUAUAUACUCAUCUUAUCUUAUAUUUCAUUGAAUAUAAGAUAAGAUAAAUUAAUGGAUAUUUAUCAUAUAGUAUCCCUACCAAAAAUGUCCCCUCCUUUAUUUGAACUCAUGGUAGGUGAAAGAAUGUAUUUUCGUGCAAAUGAUAACAAGGCAAUGAUUCGAGAUCAUGAAUAGAAAGAAAUUCCAAAAGCGCUACACAGUAACCUUCCUCAUGGUUGGCCUUAGAGCUGAAUCCUCCUGAAUGCACCAAAUGGACACCAUCACUAGCCUCUCCAACCUCUUCAUAUCAUUCAUAAUUUGCAUCCUCAUCAUCUUCCACCAACUUCUCCAACUUCCUUUGCACAAACAGUUCAUAAUCUCGAUCCAUUAGAGCUUCCUCUCCGUCUUCCAUAUGAAAGAGGAAAUCUUCUUCUAACACAUUGUCUCUAUAAAUGGCUACUUUGCAUAAGCAAUCCUCUUUACAUGACUCUUUAUACUUCUCCUGCUCAACCAAUUUGUGUUGUUUAAUUCUUUCAACUCCACUUCAUCCUUCGCUUUCUUCACUUUCUUCGCUUCAUCUUCAUCUGCUUGGCAACUCCACUUCACUCUCACUCUCAAGAACAAAGUUACCGAGCAUGGCAGCAUGAGUAACCCCUUUAACAGCCGACUAAGUUCUCCAAAGCUCAUAUCCUCAUUUGUCAGCGAGUUUGAACUCCCCAUUUUUGGUGAGUUCAAUUUUUGUACCCUUCUGCCACUUCUUUAUCUGCAUACCAAAUUAUUGUUUGGUAAUUCAUGUUCGCUAAUUGCAUAUAGAACAUAAUUAGCCCUUUUAAAAAUAAUAAUUAAUAUGAUCAAUCAUCUUCUAAGAUGGCAUGUUACAUAAAAGGUAACAAGAUUAUGCUACUUUUUAAAAUUUUUCCUUAGGGUGUCAAUGUCAUAAUGUGGGUACAAACUGACAGUAUAGGAACAAGUACAUUGAUAAAAAUUAAAAGAGAAAAAUUCGAAAUUUAUUCAGAGAAGUAGCAUCAAUUGCCUAGGGAAUAAGUGCCUGCAGAUGUUACUCCUUAGUCCCCAGUAUGCUUGAAACAAACUGGAGACUGAUCAGUUUCUUACAGUAUCAGAAGACGGCAGCCUAGCUAUAGCUAACCACACAAAGAGAUUGAAGAACACUGAGCUGCCAAGUAGUAGUGACCCAACAAGAAUCAAGGUAGACUUAUCUGGGCCUGUCUGCAAGCCUUUUGCUCUGUUUUCCACAGGAAAGAAGGAAUCUCUUCUGCCAACACAUUGUCUGUAUAAAUGGCUACUGCACAGAAGCAAUCCUCUUCACAAGACUCUUUAAAACUUCUCCUUGUCAA